rnacentral:lncRNA from 1 species
AAAGAAUUUCACUACAGGUGUUUUUCUGGUUGUACUUCUUAAGACAAAAUUACCUCCUUUUAAUGUUUAUUUUUAAUAAAAAGUCUUUUUCUGAUUAAACAAGUCAGCUUGUGUAACAAAUUUAGGCUGAGAUUCUUGGAGAUAACGUUUUCCUCAUUAUAUCAUCCUGUUAGAUGCUUCUACUGUCAGACCUCCCCUGUGAAUGUUCUUGCUUAGAAAAAAUCAGCACAGCCUUAGAAAGGAAGGUUCCAUCAGAGCUUGCCUUCUGGGGGAGAAGCCAGGCCAGAGAACACGAGGUGAGGAACCCAGGCUUUUAUUGUCAUUCUGAAAGAGCCCUGCCCUCUAAGGGGAUAUCUGGAUCUUCAUGGCUGGAGAAGAUAUCAGAGAUCAUGCAGCUUUACUUUGACCAGUCGGACCUUGGGAAAGAAAAAUUGUUUGGCAUUGCAUAUUUCUGUCCUUGUGAGUCCUGAUCCUUCAGAAACUCAUAAUGUAAGCACUAAAUUGAUUUUUAUCUUUUUUAUACUUUUAUAAAACUUUCUGGCAUGUCUAUGUAAUUCUGUGCAAGAUAUAUGACAGCAACUGGGACUGCCUGCAAAAACAGCAGCUGUUUAAACAUCAAGUAUCAUGAGAGUACAAAAAUUGUGUAUUCAGAAGAGCUGACUAAUGAUUUGUGCAAAUUUUCAUGCUUUUGUGUUUUUGUGCUCUUUGAAUGUAAAUGGAAACACCAGCUGAAAAAGUUAAAUAGGGAAAAGAGUAAACAGCUUUCAUUUCUUAAAAUAAACCUUGCU